CAAAGGAUGCGGAGUUAUCUCCAACUCUUUUUGGUACGAUGGCACAUAAUACACUAUUCUCACAGAUAAAUAGCUCAAGCGCACCAUCAUGAUCGAGGUUCUACACCACGAUCGAUACAGCUUGUGCUAUCAACACCAGAUAGAGAAAACUAAAGAGCAAUUUCUGACAGGCGCAAGCACUAGUUAUUCUACAACCUGAAGUUUACAAGCAAAAGGAAUUUAAACGUGUCUGACCAGAUCAUUUCAGAAAGAAAAAAACAUCACGUAACACACUAUUAUCACAGAAAAACAUCUUAACUGCACCACCAUGAACGAUGUUCCACUUCCUCCGUUCCUAAAUAUUUGUCUUUUUAGAGUUUCAAAUGGACUACCACAUAUGGAGGUAUAUAGACAUAUUUUGGUGUAGAUUCACUCAUUUUGCUCCGUAUGUAGUCACUUGUUGAAAUCUCUAGAAAGACAAAUAUUUAGGAACGGAGGGAGUACAAUACAAUCAAUACUGAUUGUGCUAUCAACACCAAGUAGAGAAAAUAUAGAGCAAUUUCUCACAGGUGCAAGCACUAGUUAUUCUAUAAUCGGACUUUACGAGCAAAAGGAAUUUUAAAUGUAUCAUGUUACUACAGUUUGUUGUGUUCAAUACAUGAUACCUGGAAUAACCAUUUCUGAAUGCCACCGUGAUUUACUUCGGAAAUUGCAAUUGACAAGUUGAACAGCACCCCAACAAUCAUUGCCGCCAGCAACAAGCAAUUUUUCUGAUCCCACAUCUCCUGUCAAGACAUUUUGUGCAUUUCUCCGCCCUGUGGGCAUGUCAUCGAUCAUGCCAGAAGCAGUAAUUGUGCAAAGUUGAGUCAACCAGAUAAUACCAGUGAAGGUGGCCCUCCUGCUUAAUUCAUGAAUUA
rnacentral:lncRNA from 1 species